GAUGAACGCUAGCUACAGGCUUAACACAUGCAAGUCGAGGGGAAACGGCAUUAAGUGCUUGCACUUUUUGGACGUCGACCGGCGCACGGGUGAGUAACGCGUAUCCAACCUUCCCAUGACUAAGGGAUAACCUGCCGAAAGGCAGACUAAUACCUUAUGGUCUUCACUGACGGCAUCAGAUGUGAAGUAAAGAUUUAUCGGUUAUGGAUGGGGAUGCGUCUGAUUAGCUUGUUGGCGGGGUAACGGCCCACCAAGGCAACGAUCAGUAGGGGUUCUGAGAGGAAGGUCCCCCACAUUGGAACUGAGACACGGUCCAAACUCCUACGGGAGGCAGCAGUGAGGAAUAUUGGUCAAUGGGCGAGAGCCUAAACCAGCCAAGUAGCGUGCAGGAUGACGGCCCUAUGGGUUGUAAACUGCUUUUGUAUGGGGAUAAAGUCAAUCACGUGUGAUUGUUUGCAGGUACCAUACGAAUAAGGACCGGCUAAUUCCGUG
rnacentral:rRNA from 1 species